CCUACGGGCAGCAGCAGUGAGGCAUAUUGGUCAAUGGACGAGAGUCUGAACCAGCCAAGUAGCGUGAAGGAUGACUGCCCUAUGGGUUGUAAACUUCUUUUAUAAAGGAAUAAAACGAGGCACGUGUGCCUUUUUGCAUGUACUUUAUGAAUACGGAUCGGCUAACUCCGUGCCAGCAGCAGAGGUAAUACGGAGGAUCCGAGCGUUAGCCGGAUUUGUUGGGUUUAAAGGUAUCGUAGAUGGGUUGUUAAGUCAGUUGUGAAAGUUUGCGGCUCAACCGUAAAAUUGCAAGUGAUACUGGCAGUCUUGAGUACAGGUGAGGUAGGCGGAAUUCGUGGGGUAGCGGUGAAAUGCUUAGAUAUCACGAAGAACCCCGAUUGCGAAGGCAGCUUACUAAACUGUGACUGACAUUGAUGCUCGAAAGUGUGGGUAUCAAACAGGAUUAGAUACCCGGGUAGUC
rnacentral:rRNA from 1 species